AGGACGAACGCUGGCGGCGUGCUUAACACAUGCAAGUCGAGCGGAAAGGCCCUUCGGGGUACUCGAGCGGCGAACGGGUGAGUAACACGUGAGUAAUCUGCCCCUAGCUCUGGGAUAGCUCCGGGAAACCGGGAUUAAUACCGGAUACGACCACUUUAGACAUCUGUUGUGGUGGAAAGAAUUUUGGCUAGGGAUGAGCUCGCGGCCUAUCAGCUUGUUGGUGGGUAACGGCCUACCAAGGCGACGACGGGUA
rnacentral:rRNA from 1 species